rnacentral:rRNA from 1 species
UACGGAGGGUGCAAGCGUUGUUCGGAAUUACUGGGCGUAAAGGGCGCGUAGGUGGUUGUGUAAGUCAGAUGUGAAAUCCUUAGGCUCAACCUGAGAACUGCAUCUGAUACUGCACGACUCGAGUACAGCAGAGGGAAACGGAAUUCCUGGUGUAGAGGUGAAAUUCGUAGAUAUCAGGAGGAACACCGGUGGCGAAGGCGGUUUCCUGGGCUGAUACUGACACUGAGGCGCGAAAGCGUGGGGAGCAAACAGG